GGAGAAUCCUGAAUUCGAAUGGGUUUGGAUUCCGGGCCUUCCGGUGUGCCAGGCUUGCUUGCCCUGCCAGAUGUUGCCGGUCGCCCGCUGCGAUUCGCGUCGUGUGCGGUGUCGACACCGGCGAUUACUCGGUGGGGUGCUUGCUCUGCCAUUGGGGUCCUGCACUUCCUCCCUUAGUAGAAACGUCGCGACCCGUUGGGUGUCGGUCUAAGGCCCGGGAAGGCAGCCCGCGCGUCCUGCUGCUGUGUCCGCAGGCGCACGGACUCCUGGUGACCCGGCCGACUGCCCGACGGUAUGACCAGAGGAGUCGAUCCGCUGAAAUGGGAAGCAUUAUGGUUGUGUAGCGUCCGGCCCGGUGCCGACACGUGUGGGUGAAUGGUUGUGUGCCUUGGGUGUCCGUGCUAUGCACGGUCCUGGCCCCGCUGCGUUGUCGGAUUGCUGGUGUCCUUGGACUGGAUCGAUACUCCCGUCGGCGACGCCCAAUCUUCGGAUGGUCUCCCG
rnacentral:rRNA from 1 species